UUGAGGCAUUGUCAAGAUAGAAACAUCAAGAUCUGUUAACUGAUGAAUAAGAGAGUAUGGAAUCAAAGAAUCAUGGAUGUUAUAAACCUGAGCAACUGAAAGAUGAUGGUGGGCUAUUUUUUAUUUAACCAACAGACAACAGGCUAAGAAGCAGUGGAGUGUGGACUUGGAGUUUUGAUGUAAGAGAUGAGACGCUAAUUAUGAGGAGGUUCUGACAUGAAGCAUUAAAGGUAC
rnacentral:lncRNA from 1 species